GAGGCGGCAAAUAUCCUUUGAUCCGGAGAUGUCUGAAUGGGGGAACCCACCUACUUUAAGGUAGGUAUUGCAACAUGAAUACAUAGUGUUGCAAGGCGAACGAGGGGAAGUGAAACAUCUCAGUACCCUUAGGAAAAGAAAUCAAUUGAGAUUCCCUCAGUAGCGGCGAGCGAACGGGGAUCAGCCCAUUAAGUUAUGUGUGUUUUAGUGGAACGCUCUGGGAAGUGCGAACGUAGAGGGUGAUAUUCCCGUACACGAAAGGGCACACAUAAUGAUGACGAGUAGGGCGAGGCACGUGAAACCUUGUCUGAAUAUGGGGGGACCAUCCUCCAAGGCUAAAUACUCCUGACUGACCGAUAGUGAACCAGUACCGUGAGGGAAAGGCGAAAAGAACCCCUGUGAGGGGAGUGAAAUAGAUCCUGAAACCGCAUGCAUACAAGCAGUGGGAGCACCUUCGUGGUGUGACUGCGUACCUUUUGUAUAAUGGGUCAGCGACUUAUAUUCAGUAGCGAGGUUAACCGUAUAGGGGAGCCGUAGAGAAAUCGAGUCUUAAUAGGGCGUUUAGUUGCUGGGUAUAGACCCGAAACCAGGCGAUCUAUCCAUGAGCAGGUUGAAGGUUGGGUAACACUAACUGGAGGACCGAACCCACUGUCGUUGAAAAGCCAGGGGAUGACUUGUGGAUAGGGGUGAAAGGCUAAUCAAGCCUGGUGAUAGCUGGUUCUCCCCGAAAGCUAUUUAGGUAGCGCCUCGGACGAAUACCAUAGGGGGUAGAGCACUGUUUCGGCUAGGGGGUCAUCCCGACUUACCAAACCGAUGCAAACUCCGAAUACCUAUGAGUACUAUCCGGGAGACAGACUGCGGGUGCUAACGUCCGUAGUCAAGAGGAAAACAAUCCAGACCGCCAGCUAAGGCCCCAAAAUCAUAGUUAAGUGGGAAACGAUGUGGGAAGGCAUAGACAGCUAGGAGGUUGGCUUAGAAGCAGCCACCCUUUAAAGAAAGCGUAAUAGCUCACUAGUCGAGUCGGCCUGCGCGGAAGAUGUAACGGGGCUAAAACUAUGUGCCGAAGCUGCGGAUGUAUACUUUGUAUACGUGGUAGGGGAGCGUUCUGUAAGCCGAUGAAGGUGUGUUGAGAAGCAUGCUGGAGGUAUCAGAAGUGCGAAUGCUGACGUGAGUAACGACAAAACGGGUGAAAAACCCGUUCGCCGAAAGACCAAGGGUUCCAGUCCAACGUUAAUCGGGGCUGGGUGAGUCGACCCCUAAGGCGAGGCCGAAAGGCGUAGUCGAUGGGAAAAUGGUUAAUAUUCCAUUACUUCUGUGUAAUGCGAUGAGAGGACGGAGAAGGCUAAAUCAGCCUGGCGUUGGUUGUCCAGGUGAAAGGAUGUAGGCAUGUAUCUUAGGCAAAUCCGGGGUACUCUAUGCUGAGAUCUGAUAGCAAGCUGUACUUGUACAGCGAAGUGGUUGAUGCCAUGCUUCCAGGAAAAGUCUCUAAGCUUCAGUUACACAGGAAUCGUACCCGAAACCGACACAGGUGGUCAGGUCGAGUAGACCAAGGCGCUUGAGAGAACUCUGCUGAAGGAACUAGGCAAAAUGGUACCGUAACUUCGGGAGAAGGUACGCUGUUGUUGGUGAUGGAACUCGCUUCCUGAGCUGACGACAGCCGCAGAAACCAGGCCGCUGCAACUGUUUAUUAAAAACAUAGCACUCUGCAAACACGAAAGUGGACGUAUAGGGUGUGAUGCCUGCCCGGUGCUGGAAGGUUAAUUGAUGGGGUUAGCGUAAGCGAAGCUCUUGAUCGAAGCCCCAGUAAACGGCGGCCGUAACUAUAACGGUCCUAAGGUAGCGAAAUUCCUUGUCGGGUAAGUUCCGACCUGCACGAAUGGCAUAAUGAUGGCGGCGCUGUCUCCAGCAGAGGCUCAGUGAAAUCGAAAUCGCUGUGAAGAUGCAGUGUACCCGCGGCUAGACGGAAAGACCCCGUGAACCUUUACUGCAGCUUGACACUGAACUUUGACCUUACUUGUGUAGGAUAGGUGGGAGGCUUUGAAGCUGGAACGCUAGUUCCAGUGGAGCCGUCCUUGAAAUACCACCCUGGUAAUGUUGAGGUUCUAACUCUGUCCCGUGAUCCGGGACGAGGACCGUGUCUGGUGGGUAGUUUGACUGGGGCGGUCUCCUCCUAAAGAGUAACGGAGGAGUACGAAGGUGCGCUCAGCGUGGUCGGAAAUCACGCGUAGAGUAUAAAGGCAAAAGCGCGCUUAACUGCGAGACCCACAAGUCGAGCAGGUACGAAAGUAGGUCUUAGUGAUCCGGUGGUUCUGUAUGGAAGGGCCAUCGCUCAACGGAUAAAAGGUACUCUGGGGAUAACAGGCUGAUACCGCCCAAGAGUUCAUAUCGACGGCGGUGUUUGGCACCUCGAUGUCGGCUCAUCUCAUCCUGGGGCUGAAGCAGGUCCCAAGGGUAUGGCUGUUCGCCAUUUAAAGAGGUACGCGAGCUGGGUUUAGAACGUCGUGAGACAGUUCGGUCCCUAUCUACCGUGGGCGCUGGAAAUUUGAGAGGAUCUGCUCCUAGUACGAGAGGACCAGAGUGGACGAACCUCUGGUGUACCGGUUGUGACGCCAGUCGCAUCGCCGGGUAGCUAUGUUCGGAAGGGAUAACCGCUGAAAGCAUCUAAGCGGGAAGCCUACCUCAAGAUAAGAUUUCCCUAGGACUUUAUGUCCUCUAAAGAGCCGUUCGAGACUAGGACGUUGAUAGGUUGGAUGUGGAAGCAUAGUGAUAUGUGAAGCUGACCAAUACUAAUUGCUCGUGAGGCUUGACUAU
rnacentral:rRNA from 1 species